rnacentral:rRNA from 3 species
CCGAACCGACUAAUGUUGAAAAAUUAGCGGAUGACCUGUGGCUGGGGGUGAAAGGCCAAUCAAACCGGGAGAUAGCUGGUUCUCCCCGAAAGCUAUUUAGGUAGCGCCUCGUGAAUUCAUCUCCGGGGGUAGAGCACUGUUUCGGCUAGGGGGCCAUCCCGGCUUACCAACCCGAUGCAAACUGCGAAUACCGGAGAAUGUUAUCACGGGAGACACACGGCGGGUGCUAACGUCCGUCGUGAAGAGGGAAACAACCCAGACCGCCAGCUAAGGUCCCAAAGUCAUGGUUAAGUGGGAAACGAUGUGGGAAGGCCCAGACAGCCAGGAUGUUGGCUUAGAAGCAGCCAUCAUUUAAAGAAAGCGUAAUAGCUCACUGGUCGAGUCGGCCUGCGCGGAAGAUGUAACGGGGCUAAACCAUGCACCGAAGCUGCGGCAGCGACACUGU